rnacentral:rRNA from 1 species
UACAGAGGUCCCAAGCGUUGUUCGGAUUCACUGGGCGUAAAGGGUGCGUAGGUGGUGAGGUAAGUCGGAUGUGAAAUCUCCGAGCUCAACUCGGAAAUGGCAUUGGAAACUACCUUGCUCGAGGGUUGGAGGGGGGACUGGAAUGCUUGGUGUAGCAGUGAAAUGCGUAGAUAUCAAGCGGAACACCAGUGGCGAAGGCGAGUCCCUGGACAACUCCUGACACUGAGG